CCGCGCCUCGCUUUGCGCGCGCUUUUGAAGCGGGUCGCGGAAGCGCGCGGCGGAUUCGCGCGUUUAAGCACACCGACGCGUGGAGCGUGGUGCGAGGAGUGUGGUGCCCAGCCCGACGGGAUCCACGCCCGGCCUGACGGCCUGGCUGGUCUGGCACGCUGAUUGCUCCGAAACACCGUCGAUUGCUGCGUGGGACAGCCCGGGCGUGCUAUCCCGCGGGCCAGCGCACAGCGCACCUCGUUUCCACGCCAUUGGGGCCGAAAUGUGUUGACUCGGCGCGCUGUGCUGGGGGCUGCGGGGCCACCACCUCCAGGGCGACCACCUCCAGGGCGACCACUUCCAGGGCCACCACCUCCAGGGCUACCACCUCCAGGGCGACCACCUCCAGGACGACCACCUCCAGGGCGACCACCUCCAGGACGACCACUUCCAGGGCGACCACCUCCAGGGCGACCACUUCCAGGGCCACCACCUCCAGGGCUACCACCUCCAGGGCCGGGGCGAAGAGGAAUGGCGCUAUGGCUGUUGCUGCAGGCCCUGGUGGCCGUGGUCUCGGGGUCGGCGCUAACCAGAGAUAUUGAUCCUUCAGCGCCGUGCCCGGCCAGCAACCUGGUCUGCGACGGCGGCCGCUGCGUGGACUACAC